rnacentral:rRNA from 1 species
AGCUCCAGUAGCGUAUAUUAAAGUUGUUGCAGUUAAAAAGCUCGUAGUUGGAUUUCUGGCUUAAUGCAGCUAACCUGGCCCUUAGUGGCUUUGUGUUGGUUCUGUGUUUGCCAUCCUUCCAGAGACCUAUCAUACCCUUCAUUGGGCCGUGAUUGUAAUCUGGAACUUUUACUUUGAAAAAAUUAGAGUGUUCAAAGCAGGCGUUACCGCUGUGAAUACAUUAGCAUGGAAUAAUAAUUUAGGACUUGGGUUCUAUUUUGUUGGUUCUAGGACCGAAGUAAUGAUUGAUAGGGAUAGUUGGGGGUGCUAGUAUUCAGCGGCCAGAGGUGAAAUUCUUGGAUUCGCUGAAGACUAACUUAUGCGAAAGCAUUCACCAAGGAUGUCUUCU